rnacentral:tRNA from 1 species
AGUAGAAUGACUGAGUUGUAGGUGAAGGAUUGUAAAUCUUUUUAGGAGUAUUCUCUUCUACUA